rnacentral:snRNA from 1 species
AUACUUACCUGGUGCUGGGGCCUUGUUGAUCGCUGAGGAUGAGCCCCCAGGGCGAGACGCGGACAUUUCACUGCGCUCGCGUUGACCCCUUCCAAUACCUCAAACUGGGGCAAAUGGGGCAUGCAAAUUGC